rnacentral:tRNA from 1 species
GGGGCUGGGACUCAGUGAUAGAGCAUCUGUUUGGCAUGCAGAAGGUCCCAGGUUAAAUUCCCAGCAUCUCCA